ACCCGGAGGUUCGUGGCCUGUCAGUCCCUCUAGGGCCUUUGAGCGUCAGGAGGAGCACUUGAGAUCUGCAGGGUUUAGGGAAGACUCGGUCGCAUCUGCCCCAACCAGCCAGAACCGUGGAGUCACCCUCUCCUCCUCCAUCUCCUGGUACUGCCCGCGCUCCCCUCUCUACGGGUUUGGGCACAUCCCAGGCCCAGGGUGUGGUCACCGCACCAGGUCCGCUGAGGGGGACUUUGUGCAGGCAAGACACUGACAAACAGCGAACCCACGUCCUGCUUCAGAAGCGAAGAAAGGCCAACAAGAGGCUUCAGCUGGUGCCGCCCGAGGGAAGUGGCUUGUCGGGGCGGCCCACACUCCACACACCCACUGCUUCCUCCGAUCACGGGUCCUGAGGCUGGACAGUGGACCUCUGCGCACACCCUGCAGGACAGCACCACAGAGGCAGUGUUUCUGCCGUCACGGACGCAUCAAGAAAGCUUGGGAAAUCGUGUUUUCUGCUUCCUGAAGUAUCGCAUAUUCAUUGGAGGAAAAAUGCAAAAUACAGGAGAACAAAAUUAAGUAUUCCAGCACACAGAUAAAAGCACCGUUAAUGUUUCCACAUGUGUCCUUCAAGUGUGUUUUCCAAGCCUGUGUAUAUUUUACAAAAACAAGACUAUGCUGACUGUUCUCGUAUUAUAUACAUGUGUAUUUUUUACUUUGUAAGAACUCUUUAUGUCACUAAAUAUUCUUCAACAUCAUUUAUUAAACUUCCAUUAAAAAUUU